rnacentral:rRNA from 1 species
CCUACGGGAGGCAGCAGUGGGGAAUAUUGCACAAUGGGCGCAAGCCUGAUGCAGCGACGCCGCGUGAGGGAUGACGGCCUUCGGGUUGUAAACCUCUUUCAGUAGGGAAGAAGCGAAAGUGACGGUACCUGCAGAAGAAGCGCCGGCUAACUACGUGCCAGCAGCCGCGGUAAUACGUAGGGCGCAAGCGUUAUCCGGAAUUAUUGGGCGUAAAGAGCUCGUAGGCGGUUUGUCGCGUCUGCCGUGAAAGUCCGGGGCUCAACUCCGGAUCUGCGGUGGGUACGGGCAGACUAGAGUGAUGUAGGGGAGACUGGAAUUCCUGGUGUAGCGGUGAAAUGCGCAGAUAUCAGGAGGAACACCGAUGGCGAAGGCAGGUCUCUGGGCAUUAACUGACGCUGAGGAGCGAAAGCAUGGGGAGCGAACAGGAUUAGAUACCCUGGUAGUCCAUGCCGUAAACGUUGGGCACUAGGUGUGGGGGUACAUUCCACGUUUUCCGCGCCGUAGCUAACGCAUUAAGUGCCCGCCUGGGGAGUACGGCCGCAAGGCUAAAACGUCAAAUGAAUUGACGG